rnacentral:rRNA from 1 species
AUUGAACGCUGGCGGCAGGCCUAACACAUGCAAGUCGAGCGAGCGGCGGACGGGUGAGUAAUGUCUGGGAAACUGCCUGAUGGAGGGGGAUAACUACUGGAAACGGUAGCUAAUACCGCAUACCAUCGGAUGUGCCCAGAUGGGAUUAGCUUGUAGGUGAGGUAACGGCUCACCUAGGCGACGAGCCCUAGCUGGUCUGAGAGGAUGACCAGCCACACUGGAACUGAGACACGUUCCAUACUCCUACGUGAGGCAGCAUUGGUGAAUAUUGCACAAUGGGCGCAAGCCUGAUGCAGCCCUGCCGCGUGUAUGAAGAAGGCCUUCGGGUUGUAAAGUACUUUCAGCGGGGAGGCGUUACCCGCAGAAGAAGCACCGGCUAACUCCGUGCCAGCAGCCGCGGUAAUAC